AGUGAACGCUGGCGGCGUGCCUAAUACAUGCAAGUCGAACGGAGUGGCGCAUGGGUGAGUAAUAUAUAGCUAAUCUGCCCCUUUCUGGAGGACAAACGUUAGAAAUGACUGCUAAUACCCCAUAGCAAGGGUUGAGACGAUAUCGUAUCAGCUAGUCGGUGGGGUAACGGCCUACCGAGGCUAUGACGCGUAACUGGUCUGAGAGGAUGAUCAGGAACAUUGGAACUGAGACACGGUCCAAACUCCUACGGGAGGGAGCAGUAGGGAAUAGUGCGCAAUGGGGGAAACCCUGACGCAGCAACGCCUCGUGGAGGAUGACACGUUUCGGAGCGUAAACUCCUUUUGUUAGGGAAGCGGUACCUAACGAAUAAGCACCGGCUAACUCCGUGCCAGCAGCCGCGGUAAUAC
rnacentral:rRNA from 1 species